UCCGCGUGGCGUCCAACAAGCGCGUAGCGCACGCGCGCACCACGCACCACCCACUGUUCCCGCUCUAGCACUUAAUUUUCAAAAAGGCCGUUUUAACUUUCAACGCAACGUGCCAGAUGGAGACGGAGACAUGGAAAGACAUCGUGUACACAAACUUAGAAGCGUUAGAAUAUCGCUAUCAGAGGUGUGAACUUGAACGGGACCUGUGGCUGAAGAAGCCUGUUCAUACGGCACUCUUCUUGGACAUAAACCACUUCCUUUUCACCAGAAUUAAUAAGAAUGAAGCGAAAACAAGAUUUGCUGCAUGUUGGCCUGCAACAGAUGGGACACUACAGAGGGACUUCAGAAUGGUCAUUUCUGAUUGGCUUACCGAAAUGAAGGCACAACCCGAAGCGACUCGGUUUGUGUCCGAGUUUGUUCCUCGCAUCCUGCUGCAUCCUGGAAGAGCAGUGUGCGUUCAGUUCUACGCCUGCUUCUCGACCUACGUCCUUCAGUGCUGUCUCGACCGCACUAGUUUCAAGCGCAAGUUCCGGCCCGCGCGUAAAAAUAGGAUGAUGGAUUAUGCAACCAGCGCAACUCGAGCCUCAGAUGCUACUCUGCAAGAAAAAAUACAGUCUGUGAAACAAGACGAAGACCAGCUCAUGAGGGAGCUGCAGAAGCGUGAGCGAAGUGCACGCUCGAAGCUCUCUAUUCUGAGAGGGCUAUCACACAGUAAACCUCCAUCCGACGUCCAUCAAAUUGAACAAAAAGCCGAGGUCUUCACAAAGCAGCUUGAGGAUGUCACUUCAUUGCUCACUACCUGGGACGAGCUCACGUCUCUGCUUUCUGGACUUGCACAAACGUCAAGAAAGGAUAGAACUUUCGAUGGAGCAAAGUUCCAGAGAGGCGAACCACUUGAUGUUGUCAGCUUGCUACAGAAGUAUGCAGAAGACUUGAGCGCUUUUGCUGACAAGGUCGAAGGUGCAGAUUUUGCUCCAUUUGCGGAUGCCAUACCAGUCCUGGAGCUGCAACUGCAACUGCACAAAGACACAACUGACCAACUCCAGACUGCAAGGGCAAAGUUGGAAACCAUGGAGGCCAACUGUAAAGCUACCAUCGCAGAGUGCGAGAAGGUGCUGGAAAGCAGAGAUCUUCGGCCAUUACCUGAAAUAGUCAUUAACGGCCACGUCUGCAACUUUGACCCCUUUCCUGCAAUAUUGAAACCACGACCUUUGGCGUCGGCCAGCAAUGGUGACAGUGACAACAGCUUAGAUCUUACAAACACAGCUGCUAAUGUCACUGUCAUCGAAAACGUAUUGAUUCCCACUACGACUGGCACACCGGGAAUGGACAAAGUUGCUUUUUCCACUGCGUUGGUUCCAAAGUAACUACAUCUUUCAUGCCGUGAGGAGAAGUUUUUGCACCACCUUUAGGGAGCAGAUGAACAAAAAUUGAUACAAUAUCAACUGCUCAUCCGCUGUUGCUGAAAGACUGUGGGACAGGCACGGGCAGCGUGUCAGAUGUGCUUUGCUUCUAUUAAUACACUUCCACUGCUACGGAAUCUAUUUCUGACAGCUUCGUGACUGCGUCGUCGGACUCCCUA